AUUGUAACCACAAGUCUUACCAAAUGUUGGGUCAAGCUUGAUGCAUUCAUCACAGUCCUAUAUAUAAAGGUAAGCUGCUGUGAUUGGAUUUGCUGCAAGUUUUGGUAUGAGAUCUGGAGUACAGAAUGGAUUAUCCACAGGAACACUUUUACCUGGACCUAAGAAAUCAUAAUGGUACAAAAAUGGUGAUAAUCAUGACAGUUGUGGUAAGAAUAAAACAAUGGUGAUGUGAUGGUGAUGAUGUGAUGGUGGCAUGGAUUAACAAUGAAAAUAAUGGAUUUGACAGAAAUGCAUAUGCUGCCCCAAGCCUGGAAUACCCCUUAAAAACAAAUAAGGAUACUUCUAACGGUCUCUGAAGCCAAUGUCAAAGCGCUGGUCGACACCAAUAAUGGUUGCAAGACGUUCUCAUCCAAAAUAUUGGUUAUUGUUCCCUAAAACAAUCGAUCAAACUGUCAACACUGAGCUAAGUUUAGAACAGUCGGCCAAAGAGAGGAAAGAUGUUGGAAGUUCAAGAAUUUGACAUUACCUGUUUUUUACAAGACAUCUUACAACGCACAGUGCAUCAUGCAGAGAGCGUUCAGCUUCCUCUAGGACGAGU